CCAUAGUUUUCAACAAUUGUGAUGCCAUUCUUUACCAGGGAGUAUCCAGACAUCAACUAAAAUAUUAAACAAUAUUUUUUUAGUUUAUUAUCACAAUGUGGAAAAUCAAAGAGGGAUGGUUGGACUUCAGUGACACCAAUUACUACACCCCCUGACCAGUUAUUUGCCUUCUUAUCUAUCUUUAUUUCAAAGAGGACAUCAUUUGGAAUUGGUUCUGCAGUGAUGACAACACCAUGAUCAAAAUUGCUCUCAUAAUUUGUUCUCACUGCAGUACAAUUCUCAUUCUGCAGUGUCACGCGAUCUCCGCAGCGAAAAUGAAAAUUAUGGUGCCGGUGGAAAUGGUUUGUGGUCCUGUAUUGGAUAGAAUUUUAUUGAAAAUCUAACAAGCCGUAACAAGAAAACAUCUUCAGGAUUCUUCACAACGAGUCCUCGGGGCUCUGCAAAAUUUUCUAUUAAUUAUUAGUAAUGGUUUAACGCGCCGUCAUCGAUUUAUGAAAGGCAGCACUGAAGAUGAUCCCACCGAACUUGCGAAAUUAAUUAAUUACUGCCUAUGAAGAAUGUGGAAAAAGAGAGUACUUCUUGACCUGACCUUUCAGAGAUGUGAAACCAGCUCCCAAAUCUACGCAUUUGUGCAGGACUCGACAAGACUGAAAAAAAAACUGAUGAAUUGUUACUUGCGCUUUUAAGAAUAUUUGUUUUAUUCUUAAAAGCGCAAAUGUAAAUUUAAUACACUUGAGAAAUGGUGUCGCAAGACUAGCGUUCCAAGUUUAAUUUGCUUGAAAAAAACAGCGCAAAAUUAAUGUGGUAAAUUUGAUGCGACAAAUUUAUCGUGGUUGAGAAAAAACGGCACAAGACUUAUCUUGUAAAUUUAAUUUGGUUGAGAGAAAUUGCGGAAGAUAGGUAAUUGUCAAAACAUAAAAAGAAUAUCAGCCCAAGACUUGUCUUCUAAAUUUACUUUAUUUGAUAUAUUAUUAUACAGCUAAGUUUUCUGCUUUAAAUUUAAUUCAGUUGAGGAACAUAGAGCAUUAACGUAAAGUACGUCAAACAAUAACUGCGCUUUAUAUUUAUAUAAUAGGGUCCAGAAACAUGUACCGAUUUGUAUGAUUAUUAUAAAGUGGGGUAUAAUGUUUGUGCUAAAUAAGCACGUUAUAUUUUUCUUGAUGAACUGUGUGAGACUGUUUUAAUGUGCAGAUGCAGUGUAUUGUUAUUGCUUAGAAGUGUAUACGUGUGUCGAGUGUUAUCCGUGUAGAAUUUUACAAUAAAUCAAUUUCCACUUGA